AUGGAAGAAGUCCCCCACCCCCCAAACAUCUGGAGUUUUCUUUCAAAUCUGAUGCAAUCUUUCAUCUGGACAAGAAAGGCUUUGAUCCAAACUCGAAGAUCCCCUAUCUCCCAGUUAAUUGGUGUUAGUGAGCAACACAUUAGAACUCCCAGCCAUGGGCGAGGACUCCACUGUGCUAGGUGCAACACCAAUACAGGAGACAAAUUUUCUAAAUUGAACAGUAUGAUUGGAAAACCUCUCAGAUUUGGUUGCUGUUGA
ensembl:lncRNA